rnacentral:lncRNA from 10 species
ACGCACAGGCCAGGGAACACGGGGCUCUAGGCUGUGGCUCCGAGUGUCCCUGGUGACUGGAAAGCCUGAGGGGAGGCUGGAAGCUGAUACAGGAUGCCGGUGGCUUGUGAGACAGAAUGAGCUCUUUCUUCCUGAAGAGGGACAGAGGGGAGAGAAGAGAGCAGACAUCACACUGCUCCUUCCAUCCCUGCCCGUGGCAGACAUCACUAAUCAAACUUACGGUGCCUGGCAGACAUCACUCAUCAGGAUUGCACUGCCGUCUCCCACUGAGCCCAGACCAAACCUCAGAUCCCCAGCACAGCCUCCAGCAGCCACCCCUGAUCUAUCAGGGUAGGAGCAUCUUGCAAUCCAGUUGCCAACACUCGUCUAGAGUUUGAGAACUGAAUACUUGUGGGUGUGCAUCUGCGAGUCUCCCUGCCCAAGCCUGGAGGGAAUACUAAGAAAUGUGCGGACAGUGAAGAGACAGGAAACCUUGUUGCAGCAGAAAUGGCCUCGAUGCCUUCGGGAUUCUUUAGCCUGGAGAGAAGAGGGCUCAGGGGAGUCAAUGUGUGACCUCAACACUCCAGGAAGGAGAGUGGGCAAGUGGGAUGCCAUGGACAGAGCCACAGAAAAACAGAAACCUCUUCUGUGUAUUAAGCUGAUGCUAAAGUCAGAGCAGUCCAAAGGCAGGAGGCUGCCUUGGGAGGUAGUAAGCUCUCUGUCCCUGGAGGUAUGCAAGAGGGUGGAGAAGUCUUGGCAAGGAUGUUGAAGAAGAUAUCCAAGCCUCAGUUCUGGGUGUGGAGAGGGAGACCCAGAUGAUCUUGGGGAUUUCUUCCACUCUUGGAGCUGGGGAGUUGGGGAAGGACCAGGGGUGCAUGUGGGCAGCAGAGCUGACAGAGUCCUGGAUGCAGUGACAGCAGCCUGGAGACAACUCAGCUUCUUUUCAGAACUGUCACGCCUGUGCUGUGUGUCUGUGGAUGGUCACUGUCCUCUCUGGGCCUUUGAGAUUAUUUGGUCCAACAGAUGGGGAAAGCAAGGAUCCUACCAGCUGGGCCAUUCUUGGAUGCCGUGUUAGCAGCUCACUCUUGGCCCCGGCCUGAAGGGGGGAACAGUCCAUCCUCCAGUGGACCAGGGAUUGCGCUGUGGGUUCCGAGUCCUCAAAGACAUGGCAGCUGAAUCUCCGUGCAGCCCCUGGGCUUUGAUGACUUCUCUGAGAUUUGCUUUUGCCUCCUUGUUGCCUAAAUCCUCACUUUCUUGGCAUCAGGUCCUGGUGCAGUGAGGAGAGAGGGCCCAGGGUCUGGCUGGACCAAAGAGGGCGCUGGGCCUGGUGUUCCUUUGGUCUCUAGAGCAGCCUGCAUCCUGGGCCAGUUGCUGGGGUCUCUGGAGAACCCACGGCACCUGCCCUGAGUCCAGGCGAGGAUACAUCAGUCCAUAUUUUUGUCU